UACGUAGGGUGCAAGCGUUGUCCGGAAUUAUUGGGCGUAAAGAGCGUGUAGGCGGCCAGGUAGGUCUGCUGUGAAAACUCGAGGCUCAACCUCGAGACGUCGGCGGAAACCAUCUGGCUAGAGUCCGGAAGAGGAGAGUGGAAUUCCUGGUGUAGCGGUGAAAUGCGCAGAUAUCAGGAAGAACACCCGUGGCGAAGGCGGCUCUCUGGGACGGUACUGACGCUGAGGUGCGAAAGCGUGGGGAGCAAACAGG
rnacentral:rRNA from 1 species